CGCACGUGAGGUUGGGUCGGCGCCUGCGCACACUCGGCGAGCGCUGAGGCUGCGUGCUGUCCGACAUCCUCCCGCCAGCCUGAGUACCCCGAAGGCUGCCUUCGAGUGAGUUCUCCAGUCCGGGGCCCUAGACGGCGUUGUGCUGUGGCUGGUGUUGCUUUCCCUCGCUGCUCGCAGAGGAAGUCCGCCGUCCUGAGAGGCCCCGCGCUUCCGUCGUGCACGUUAGAGACUUCACACAGGCCUGCCUCCGUGUUAGCGGGAGUGUUGCCUGCUGUGUUUGGAAUUCAUCAUUUGAUGGACAUCUAGGCUGUUUCCAUUUCCUGACUGUUGUGACUAGGACAGCAGUGAGCAUGGAUGAGCAGGCUUCCACCAGAAGGUGUGGCCCAGAUUGAGGAUGGAUCUUUUCACCUCAAGUGAUCUGGAUUUAAGGAUGAAGAGCCAAGGGCUAGGUAGGAGCCACCUACACCAAAUGUGAGCCCUCAAGGCUCCAGGCCCAGUGGGCCCACUGCUUCCUUGAAAACUUCCUGGCCGUGGAACAAAAUUUCAGUUGCAUUUUCUGCUGUACGCACCAGGAGCCAACCUUUCUUUUAAAAGGCAGGAUAAUAGGUGACUUCAGGCUUUGUGAACUAAGAGGCAAAACCAAGACUUGUCUUGUACUUAUUAACCAUUUUAAAAGGUAAACCCAUCACUGGCUUGUGGCCAAAACAAACAAACAAAACUUCCAACUCAUUCACCAGCUUUAGUCUGUGGAUCAUGGUUGCCAACCCCUAACCCAUACAGAAUGCUGAGUCACACAGUCUCUCAUGAUGUGAAGAAUCCUCUUUACGGUGUAGCUGGAAGCUUCAACUGACUUUGUUUCACGUGCAUGAAAUCACCAAGACUGACAUAAACGAUGACUCGGAUCUGCACAUUGGUCCCAUUACUUUGUCAACUUUGUUUUCCUUCAUUGAAACUUAUAUCUAAGAUAAAUAAAAAGCAUUCCAGGUA